GACGAACGCUGGCGGCGUGCUUAACACAUGCAAGUCGAACGGAAAGACCCUGCUUUUGUGGGGUGCUCGAGUGGCGAACGGGUGAGUAACACGUGAGUAACCUGCCCUUGACUUUGGGAUAACUUCAGGAAACUGGGGCUAAUACCGGAUAGGAGCUCCUGCUGCAUGGUGGGGGUUGGAAAGUUUCGGCGGUUGGGGAUGGACUCGCGGCUUAUCAGCUUGUUGGUGGGGUAGUGGCUUACCAAGGCUUUGACGGGUAGCCGGCCUGAGAGGGUGACCGGCCACAUUGGGACUGAGAUACGGCCCAGACUCCUACGGGAGGCAGCAGUGGGGAAUAUUGCACAAUGGGCGGAAGCCUGAUGCAGCAACGCCGCGUGCGGGAUGACGGCCUUCGGGUUGCAAACCGCUUUCGCCUGUGACGAAGCGUGAGUGACGGUAAUGGGUAAAGAAGCACCGGCUAACUACGUG
rnacentral:rRNA from 1 species